UCCUGGUUGGCGCAAUUAGUAGAACACUCUACUGGAAAUGGAGGGGUCCCUGGUUCGAUACCAGGACCAGGCG
rnacentral:tRNA from 1 species